GAUGAACGCUGGCGGCGUGCCUAAUACAUGCAAGUCGAGCGAACAGACGAGGAGCUUGCUCCUCUGACGUUAGCGGCGGACGGGUGAGUAACACGUGGAUAACCUACCUAUAAGACUGGGAUAACUUCGGGAAACCGGAGCUAAUACCGGAUAAUAUAUUGAACCGCAUGGUUCAAUAGUGAAAGACGGUUUUGCUGUCACUUAUAGAUGGAUCCGCGCCGCAUUAGCUAGUUGGUAAGGUAACGGCUUACCAAGGCGACGAUGCGUAGCCGACCUGAGAGGGUGGUCGGCCACCCGGGAACUGAGACACGGUCCAGACUCCUACGGGAGGCAGCAGUAGGGAAUCUUCCGCAAUGGGCGAAAGCCUGACGGAGCAACGCCGCGUGAGUGAUGAAGGUCUUCGGAUCGUAAAACUCUGUUAUUAGGGAAGAACAAAUGUGUAAGUAACUAUGCACGUCUUGACGGUACCUAAUCAGAAAGCCACGGCUAACUACGUG
rnacentral:rRNA from 1 species